rnacentral:rRNA from 1 species
GGAAUAUACCCUUUGGUACGGAAUAGCCUCUGGAAACGGAGAGUAAUACCGUAUGAGCCCUUCGGGGGAAAGAUUUAUCGCCAAAGGAUUAGCCCGCGUUAGAUUAGGUAGUUGGUGGGGUAAUGGCCUACCAAGCCUACGAUCUAUAGCUGGUUUUAGAGGAUGAUCAGCAACACUGGGACUGAGACACGGCCCAGACUCCUACGGGAGGCAGCAGUGGGGAAUCUUGGACAAUGGGGGCAACCCUGAUCCAGCCAUGCCGCGUGAGUGAUGAAGGCCUUAGGGUCGUAAAGCUCUUUCGCCUGUGAAGAUAAUGACGGUAGCAGGUAAAGAAACCCCGGCUAACUCCGUGCCAGCAGCCGCGGUAAUACGGAGGGGGUUAGCGUUGUUCGGAAUUACUGGGGCGUAAAGCGCACGUAGGCGGACUGGAAAGUUGGGGGUGAAAUCCCAGGGCUCAACCCUGGAACUGCCUCCAAAACUAUCAGUCUAG